CCCAACAUCAUGGUCAUGUUUCUGCUAAAACUUUUGUCUCUUCAACUCAUGCAUGUGGAGUCCCACACUCACACCUAGCGAGAAACAACAAUAACAAGUGUGCGGUUAAAAACCUAUUUGUGGAUUAGACAAAAAAAUAUAGUGACGAUUUAUACCGGCCACUAUUUGUAAAUUAAAUGGUAAAAAUUUACAUUCUAAAGGCGACAAGUAUGUUUGACAAAAAUAACCCAAUUAAAGCAUUUUAAAAAAAUUGAACACCAAAUUGAAACAUUUAAAACUUGGGGGACCAAAUUGACAAUUAAGCCUUUUAAUUUUUUUAAAAAUACUACAAAACUUUAGUAUAAAAAAAUAGAUCAUUUAAUUUGAAGGACUUAAUCCAUAAUUAUUUUUUAUACUGGACGAGGCCUAUUAAUGGCUCAUACGAAUUAGACAAUCUAUAAUCAGUAUGGAUCCAUACGGAGAUGUUUUAAUCAAUUGAGUUAAUAGAUCAUUUAUGUUAAAAAAAUAAUUAACGUCGUUAUAUAUAACACUAAGAUUUCUAAUGUAUAUGUAAUACACGUAUAAGUUUACAUAAAAAAAUUUGUAACAAUUAAUUUGAUCUAAUAAUAUUUUUUUAUAUAUAUAAAUUUUUAUCAAACUUAUUAUUUUUAUUUAAAAUUUAUAUAUGUAAAAAAUACAUUAUUAGAUCAAAAUUAAUUGUUAUAAAAUUUAUUAUGUAAACUUACAUUUGUAUUAAAUAUGUAUUAUAAAUUUUAGUAUUAUAUAUAAUGAUGUUAAUUAUUUUUUUAAUAUAAUUGAUUUAUUAGUUCAGUUGAUUAGAGCGUCUGACGGAAGUCAUCAAUUCCUAAUCAAUUCCCAUAAGUAAGAAAAUCCUUUCUCAUUCGCUCGCUCAAAAAGCUUGCAAAGCUUGCAAACAGGGGUGCAUGCAGUGCUUUCGGUGCUCAUUGGGUUACGAUGGUUUUCGUGCUAAUUUCACAUCAUUGCUCACUCUCGAACAAGGCAUUGAAACAUUUUAAUUUUUAAUAUCCUUUGCCCAUUCUAUAUUUUUCUGACCUAAUUUUGUUUGGAGCAAGUUAAUGUCGGCAACACACUCUGUAGCUUACCUUGCUUUCAUCAGGUUUGUUUCAUUACUUAGUGAACUGUAACUUUUUAUCACAUGGAUUUUACAUUGAAGCAAAAACUAUUAGAGUCACAGAGCACUUAUGAGAUGGAAGAGAUGCUUUUUUAUGUUUUAAUCCUUUUUUUUUUCAUCAAAUAGCAUACUAGUUGAAUAAUACACUAUCAUAAAUACAUUAGUUGAAUAUAUUCAUCUUGUCCUGAGAAAUUUGUUCAAUUAUUGUUAUUUGGGGAUUCAAACAAUGUCUGUCUAAUUUCUAAUUAUUUCGUACUUUACCUUAGCAUAGGUUCGAGUAAAAGGCACAAUAUUCAUAGAUUAGAUCAUUUUUUUGUGUGGAAAGGAUCAAUGAUGUCACAUUUAUAGAUUAGAUCCAUUUUUUUUCUUCUAUAUGAAUAAAAGUCAUGUUUGAUCCUGACGAUGGUAGGUAAGUAUGGCAAUAAAAACUGAAACGGUACAUACCAGUUCCAUUUUGUCUUGAUGUUAACGGAAAAAACCUGCUUUCAUUGGAAUUGUGGUCGGGAUGGGAUAACUCUCUUGUCAGUUACAUAUAUUUUUAUAAUUAUUAAUAAUAUAAUUAUGUAUUUAUGUACAAUUCUAUUAUUAUUAUUAUUAUAUAUAUAUAUAUAUAUUAUAUGUAAUUAUUAAUUAUAUACUAUUUUCAUAUUUUAUUAUUUAUAGUUAUUAAAAUAUAGAAUAAUUAUUUUAAUAAUUAAAUAAAAAAUAUUAUAAUUAUAUUACUAAUUAUAAUAAAAUUAAAAAUUAUACAUUUAGCUAAGAAUAUAAUUUAGUUCUUAAAUAUGUUUACAUUAUCUUUUUUAUUAAAUUAUAUAUAAUGAUUGAAUUAAAAUAUAUUUAAUAAAAUAAUCUAUGAUUUAUUUAAAGUAUAUGAAUAAAUAUUUUUUUUUUAAAAUAUGAAAUGAGUUUUAUGUGAAUUUCUCCAAAUUUGAUAAAAUCUAUUGAAAAUGAGCCACAACAAAUUUGCUCCGAUAGUAAAUUCAAAUUCAAUUAAACACAAAAAUCAAGAAAAAUCCAAACCUCAUAAUUUAAACAAAGCAUUUAGUUAGUGAGCUAUUAUUAAAUAUUCUAAUUUUUCAUGUAGUUGGAUAAAUCGUAAAAGAAAUAAAUAUAGGAAAUUGGAAUAAAGUGAGAAUUAGGAACCUAACCUUGACUUCUCUGGCGACAUAAACUCUACCAAAUUUGCCCCUACCGAGUACCGAGAGGUUUACCGAUCUCGAAGUCUUCCAAGGGACCAAUGCCGAUUUGAAUUUUCUUCCUCUGCUGGGUUUUGCGAAGCCACUUUCGGUGGAAAAUGUGAAGUUCCUUGUUGAUUAUCUGAGAAUUGAAUUUGAAUUUGUGAACCGGUCCGGGUUAAGCAGGC
rnacentral:lncRNA from 1 species